rnacentral:rRNA from 1 species
GAUGAACGCUGGCGGCGUGCCUAACACAUGCAAGUCGAGCGAUUUACUUCGGUAAAGAGCGGCGGACGGGUGAGUAACGCGUGGGCAACCUGCCCUGUACACACGGUUAACAUACCGAAAGGUAUGCUAAUACGAGAUAAUAUACUUUUAUCGCAUGGUAGAAGUAUCAAAGUUUUUGCGGUACAGGAUGGACCCGCGUCUGAUUAGCUAGUUGGUAAGGUAACGGCUUACCAAGGCGACGAUCAGUAGCCGACCUGAGAGGGUGAUCGGCCACAUUGGAACUGAGACACGGUCCAAACUCCUACGGGAGGCAGCAGUGGGGAAUAUUGCACAAUGGGCGAAAGCCUGAUGCAGCAACGCCGCGUGAGCGAUGAAGGCCUUCGGGUCGUAAAGCUCUGUCCUCAAGGAAGAUAAUGACGGUACUUGAGGAGGAAGCCCCGGCUAACUACGUGCCAGCCGCCGCCGUAA